rnacentral:rRNA from 1 species
AACGAACGCUGGCGGCAGGCUUAACACAUGCAAGUCGAACGGGUGUAGCAAUACAUCAGUGGCAGACGGGUGAGUAACACGUGGGAACCUUCCUAGGGGUACGGAACGACUCAGGGAAACUUGAGCUAAUACCGUAUACGUCCGUGAGGAGAAAGAUUUAUCGCCCUUAGACGGGCCCGCGUCGGAUUAGCUAGUUGGUGGGGUAACGGCCUACCAGGGCGACGAUCCGUAGCUGAUCUUAGAGGAUGAUCAGCCACACUGGGACUGAGACACGGCCCAGACUCCUACGGGAGGCAGCAGUGGGGAAUCUUGGACAAUGGGCGCAAGCCUGAUCCAGCCAUGCCGCGUGAGUGAAGAAGGUCUUCGGAUUGUAAAGCUCUUUUGCCAGGGACGAUAAUGACGGUACCUGGAGAAUAAGCCCCGGCAAACUUCGUGCCAGCCGCCGCCGUAA